GGCUUUUUGGCGAUUUGGUCAGCGCAUUUGACUCUUACCCGGGAGUCUGGGGUUCAAUUCCCCGAUCGGGUCU